AGAGUUUGAUCCUGGCUCAGGAUGAACGCUAGCGGCAGGCAUAAUACAUGCAAGUUGAACGCUGAGGACAGCAGCAAUGUUAUCCUUGGAGUGGCGCACGGGUGCGUAACACGUAUGCAAUCUGCCCCUAACAGGGGAAUAGCCCGGCGAAAGUCGGAUUAAUACCCCAUAACAAUGUGAAUCGGCAUCGGUUUAUAUUUAAAGCACCGGCGGUUAGGGAUGAGCAUGCGCGACAUUAGCUAGAUGGCGGGGUAACAGCCCACCAUGGCUACGAUGUCUAGGGGGUCUGAGAGGAUUUUCCCCCACACUGGUACUGAGACACGGACCAGACUCCUACGGGAGGCAGCAGUAGGGAAUAUUGGGCAAUGGACGCAAGUCUGACCCAGCCAUGCCGCGUGAAGGACGAAGGCCC
rnacentral:rRNA from 1 species